AGGAGUUGCUGGGUGUGGCCUUCAGUAGGAUAAUGAGGGUGGAAGCUGGCAGUGGUGACCACAUCAAGACGUGGCACCACAACACAAUGAAGGCCCGGAACGUGAACACACGAUGAUCCGCUUUGAGGAGGACAGUGUGGCAUUCUCUUGCCUCACAGCAGACUGCAAAGUGAGGCUCAGGGAGGCUGCUGGAAGGCUCUGGUCACCCUUUCACCACGCUGUCGUUUGUUGCACCUGUCCGAUUCAUUCUGCACGGUUGCCUUCCAAAUGUUACACAUUAAUUACAAAUUUUGGUAUGGACUGAAAAUGUGACACAUGUACUCUGCGAGUACACGUGCACGUGCACUUGCUGCAUCUCUUGUUGUCAGAGCCGCUCGUAACUUGUUGUUCUCUUGCGGUGGAUGGAAGGGUGACGUUUGCUGACGUGAUGACGUGAAUCGUGUUUGGACAACAUUCGGCUUUUGGCUAACGUCAAGUAAACGUGUCUUUGCUUUGUUGCUUUCUUGUAAAUGUUUACAAUAAGUUAUAAAUUUCUUAUGUCAGCCAACCAGUUGUGGCUGGGAACUGGAGUUGUGCUGUUUUUGUAAAGGUUUGUUAGAGGUUGAACUAAUAAUUCAUAUUUGCUA